UACGUAGGGUGCAAGCGUUGUCCGGAAUUAUUGGGCGUAAGGAGCUCGUAGGCGGUCUGUCGCGUCGGCUGUGAAAACCCGGGGCUCAACCCCGGGCCUGCAGUCGAUACGGGCAGACUAGAGUGUGGUAGGGGAGACUGGAAUUCCUGGUGUAGCGGUGAAAUGCGCAGAUAUCAGGAGGAACACCGGUGGCGAAGGCGGGUCUCUGGGCCAUAACUGACGCUGAGGAGCGAAAGCGUGGGGAGCGAACAGG
rnacentral:rRNA from 1 species